rnacentral:lncRNA from 1 species
AGGAGGGAGUCUGGGUGAAGAAGUUCAUCACAGAUUUGGGAGUCGAUACAGAUAGCGACAAGUCGACUUCCCUUAUUGCGACAACUAUGGGGUGAUUACUCAAAUAAGGGAACCCAGGUCUCAUCAGAAGUGUUCUGAGGAGGUUCCAACUUAUCAGAGAGAUCGUAACCCGAGGAGAUGUAGCAGUGGAAAGAGUUCCAUCCGAAGAUAACAUUGCAGAUCCACUGACAAAGUCGUUGUCUCAG